AGUUGAAUAGUCAAGGCUUUGCAUUUUUCUUUUUAAACGCCAAAUUGGUGUGAAAAUAUUGUCUUUCUGGACUCUUUGUGAAUUCAAUGUGUGUACUAGUUUGUGGGAGUACUACUACAUAUGUAAAAAGAGAGGUGUAAAUAUUUUUUUGGCUCAAAGGAAGCUGCAUGUAAGCUACGUGUGACAACAUGGAGUUAAAAAAAAUAAAUUGUUACCCUUUAAAUUUUGAAUGUCAAAUCUAUUUAGAAGUUUGAUUGUAGGUACCUCGUUCACGUCUUGGUUACAUUCCACCUAGUGUUUACUAAUUAUUGUCCUUUUUAUAAAUUUUCUUCUUAAAAAUCUUAUUAUGGUAAGGAUAAUGUAUUUGUUCCCUUCAGGUAUCUGCCACUGCAGCUGACGUUGAGACAACUCUCAGUCUUCCUGCAAGUCCUCGCCUGAUACCUGUUUCAAGUGCAACAAGGCAAGUCACAAUUAAGGGUUGGAUGAUCACCUUUAAGGGCUCUGAGGGCAUCACAACAACAUUUGCAAUUGGACUUGCUGCUAUGUUUGCAACCUACUACAUUUUCAGCCUUCAGUAUCAAGAUGAGACAGCCUGCCCUCUGGAAUUCAUUCAGAGGCACUUCAUUGAUAUAAAUCAAGAGAGAGGAACAAAUGCCAAAAUCAUCAGACAAGAUUGUCUCUAAGAAGAAAGGUGUGAUCGUCCAGAAGUCGUCUUCUGCAGUUAAAUACACACCUGGCCAUGCUACUGAAGAAUCUCCUUGACUUUUUAAUGGAACUUCAUAUAGAUCGUGGCAGCGCUGGAAUAAUGCUGCAGAGAGGAACAGCGGCUACUAAAGUGAUGAUUGUCUCUUCUGGAUCCACAAGAACUAAGAUGUAAAAACACAAGCCUACCUCACAGGACAAUUUUAAGAGGUAACCUGCAAGUCUAGCUUGCAGUGGCACAUGUGCCUAUACGGUUUCAUCCUAAAUGUUUUUUAUGCUUAUUAUUGAUACAUCCUGACAAAAUGUUCUACUGUACUAUAAUAGUUUCAAAAUGGCCUUAGGUAUGUUUUCAAAAAGUAAACUAUAGGUUAUGCCCUUCACAUUUGGUUAGGAUUAGGGGCAGUCUCUGACGAGCAAUUUAAGAA